CCGCCCCCCCUUGCCAAAACGCGACGAUCGCAGAAGUAGCCGAGAGGAGAAAUCAUCGACUCGUCGACAGCCGCUGACCGAUACGCCCCCUCCCCGAACCCCAAUCGUCACAGGCCCAGGUCAUCAAGCCCCUCAACGGCGACCCCUUCAUCGGUAUGCUCGAGACCCCCGUGACGUCCGCGCCCAUCGUCGCCAACUUCCUCUCCAACCUCCCCGCGUACCGAACCGGCGUGAGCCCCCUCACCCGCGGCGUCGAGGUUGGCCUGGCGCACGGCUUCUUCCUCACCGGCCCCUUCAUCAAGCUCGGCCCGCUCCGCUCCACCGACGCCGCCGAGCUCGCGGGUUGCCUCUCCGGCGCCGGCCUCGUGCUCAUCCUCACCGCGUGCCUCUCCAUCUACGGCGCCACCGCCUUUCAGACCCCGGAUGUCGUCGGCGUGAAGACCCUCUCCGGCCGCGACAUUGCGCGCGAUCCGGUGCAGUCCUCCGAGGGCUGGGCGAAGUUCACC
rnacentral:lncRNA from 1 species